GUUGGGCGCGGUGGCGCCCAGCUACUCAGGAGGCUGAGGUGGGAGGAUCGCUUGAGCCCAGGAGUUCUGGACUGUAGUGUGCUAUGCCGAUUCGGUGUCCACACUAAGUUUGGCAUCAGUAUAGUGACCUCCUGGGAGCAGAGGACCACCAGGUUGCCUAAGGAGGGGUGAAUCGGCCCAGGCGGGAAAUGGAGCAGGUCAAAACUCCCAUGCUGAUCAGUAUUGGGAUCGCACCUGUGAAUAGCUACUGCAGUCCAGCCGGCAACAUAAAGAGACCCCAUCUCUU
ensembl:misc_RNA Metazoa_SRP Metazoan signal recognition particle RNA